UGACUUUAGUACGGCGAGUGAAGCGGCAAAAGCUCAAAUUUGAAAUCUGGUACCUUCGGUGCCCGAGUUGUAAUUUGGAGAGGGCAACUUUGGGGCCGUUCCUUGUCUAUGUUCCUUGGAACAGGACGUCAUAGAGGGUGAGAAUCCCGUGUGGCGAGGAGUGCGGUUCUUUGUAAAGUGCCUUCGAAGAGUCGAGUUGUUUGGGAAUGCAGCUCUAAGUGGGUGGUAAAUUCCAUCUAAAGCUAAAUAUUGGCGAGAGACCGAUAGCGAACAAGUACAGUGAUGGAAAGAUGAAAAGAACUUUGAAAAGAGAGUGAAAAAGUACGUGAAAUUGUUGAAAGGGAAGGGCAUUUGAUCAGACAUGGUGUUUUGUGCCCUCUGCUCCUUGUGGGUAGGGGAAUCUCGCAUUUCACUGGGCCAGCAUCAGUUUUGGUGGCAGGAUAAAUCCAUAGGAAUGUAGCUUGCCUCGGUAAGUAUUAUAGCCUGUGGGAAUACUGCCAGCUGGGACUGAGGACUGCGACGUAAGUCAAGGAUGCUGGCAUAAUGGUUAUAUGCCGCCCGUCUUGAACACACGAAACC
rnacentral:rRNA from 1 species